UCUGUAUUGCGUAGCCCCUGAGAUCGUACUCUUUGGAUGACAUAAACUCGGGCUUUUCGGGAUGACAAAUACUUGGGCUUUUCGAUUGUAGAAUUGGUUUUCUUAUUCUUUUUCUCCUGUUAGAGACUAAUUUAUUCCGAUAUAUAAAUUUUGUUUUCCAAGGCUUUCCUCAUUGCACCUCCCCUGAUAUCACAUUUCCUCCAUGUAUAUGACUAUGUGAAUUUCCAUCAGCAGUUUCUUGUCCAUUGUCUUGUCUAAUUUUGUUGCAUAGAGUUGUGGGUUUUUGUGAUUUUACUAGCUUGGAUUGACAAUCCACUGGGAAAAUGAAUUUCAU
rnacentral:lncRNA from 1 species